AACUAUUAGAUAUAGUAAGUACACAACAUUGUUGUACUAUGGUUCUGUUUUUCUUUGGAGAAGAAUGAUGAUUUAUAUUAUACACUAUUCUCUAGCAGUUAUUAUGCCCUCUUUAUUAUUUCAGAUUUAUUAUGUUCCUCGCCGCCGGCCAUGAUGUCGCCGCCCCAGAUCCCCCGCCGACCGGGACGCCGCUGCUCCAGAUCCCCCUGCCCGUUGGGACGCCACCCGCACCGGCCAACAGCGGAUCCCCCCUUUCCUCGCGCGCCGCCACAAAGAAGGCCGCACCCCGCCAUGUAUCUCUCCCGGAGCCUCGCCGCCGACCAGGGUUCCCGUCCGUCCUGGACUCGGCUAAAGGAUGCCGUCCUCCCUCCGGCGUCGGUAUCCCCUCCCCAUUCCCUUCAAGCGCCGGUGAGGAGCUUCCCGUCCCCAACCCGAUUCGCGCCGCCGCGUCCUUGAUGUGGGAUCGCUGGAUUCGCCCAUGGCACGGUGACCUCGGUAUCCAGGUCCGUCACCCAGGGCGCUCGCUGCUGCCCCAUACCGGCCCGCCGCACCACCCUCCGUGCCAUCCCCCGCCACCCCCACCUACUUCAUCGAUGGCGGCCGCCGCCUCUCUUUUCGGCGGCGGUAGUAGCCCAGGAUGGUGCCCUCUCCCACUCCUCCUUCAACUCCGGCGAGACGUAAGGGGCUCGGGUUGCCCCUGUGACCCUGUCUGUCACAGUUUUGUUUUCACUUUCUUUUUGUUCGUCCGCAUACUAUUGGUUGCGAAGUUGCAGAAUUGUUAUGUAUACUAGUAUUAUUUGUUUUUAUGUUCUAGUAAUUUGCAUGAUACAAAUCUCAGAGUACAACGUGGUCUUCCUAUUCUCUUUUCUGUCUAGGGCAGUACGGCAGGUCAGUUUUGCUUAUACAGGCAGUACAAUGUUGCUCAAUAGAUACGUAUGUGGAUUUAGUCUGCCAGCAGUGAAGUUUGGUGUUCUUCAUGGUCGGGGCAUUUCUUUUUUCUUUUCGUGUAUGUCCUUUUUGUUCUGAUUCCAACUUGAUGCAUACUGAAUCUUGCCGACGUCCACGAUGCAGCUGGGCAGGGACUUCAGCAUGACGGACGUGCGGCAGGCGGUAGCCCGGCGAAAUACGACAAGGUCGAGGGUCUAAAACACAUGGUGCUCACUGGUAGCCCCUACAAAGUUCGCGAGAGCUGUCCCCGCAGUCGGUCGUGAAAUUCUUCAGCUUCCCCUACCGCCGAGGCUCCAAUUGAAGCUGCACCAAUUUGUUGCGCUGCCCAGUUGAAUCGACGAACGCGGCCGCGAGACCUUACAGAGCAUGAGGCUGUUUUUCUCUCAGUCUCUCCGUUUCUUUUUCUGCGGGCAGUGUACCGGAAAGUGCAGUUGUGCAGCUGCAAUCAUGAUUGUAAAGUUAAUGUGAAUUAUUUUCCCCUGCUGUCGGAGUUGUGGGGAAGCUCUCUCCUAGAGCCAAUCACUCGCAACUCUGCAGCAGUGCAUUAUAUUUGUGGAUAGCUAAGUGUGCAAAAUGUUCAUACCGGGUUGUGCUUUUCUUAAUAUAAUGAAGUGUAAGUAUA